rnacentral:rRNA from 1 species
UGGCGGACGGGUGAGUAAUGUCUGGGAAACUGCCUGAUGGAGGGGGAUAACUACUGGAAACGGUAGCUAAUACCGCAUAACGUCGCAAGACCAAAGAGGGGGACCUUAGGGCCUCUUGCCAUCGGAUGUGCCCAGAUGGGAUUAGCUAGUAGGUGGGGUAAAGGCUCACCUAGGCGACGAUCCCUAGCUGGUCUGAGAGGAUGACCAGCACACUGGAACUGAGACACGGUCCAG